rnacentral:rRNA from 1 species
AUUGAACGCUGGCGGCAUGCCUUACACAUGCAAGUCGAACGGCAGCACGGGGGCAACCCUGGUGGCGAGUGGCGAACGGGUGAGUAAUAUAUCGGAACGUGCCCUAGAGUGGGGGAUAACGUAGCGAAAGUUACGCUAAUACCGCAUACGAUCUAUGGAUGAAAGUGGGGGAUCGCAAGACCUCAUGCUCGUGGAGCGGCCGAUAUCUGAUUAGCUAGNGGUAGGGUAAAGCCUACCAAGGCAUCGAUCAGUAGCUGGUUUGAGAGAACGACCAGCCACACUGGGACUGAGACACGGCCCAGACUCCUACGGGAGGCAGCAGUGGGGAAUUUUGGACAAUGGGGGCAACCCUGAUCCAGCAAUGCC